GACGAACGCUAGCGGCGUGCCUAAUACAUGCAAGUCGAGCGAAGUUUUUCUGGUGCUUGCACUAGAAAAACUUAGCGGCGAACGGGUGAGUAACACGUAAAGAACCUGCCUCAUAGACUGGGACAACUAUUGGAAACGAUAGCUAAUACCGGAUAACAGUAUUUCUCGCAUGAGAGAUAUUUAAAAGUUGGUUAUGCUAACACUAUGAGAUGGCUUUGCGGUGCAUUAGCUAGUUGGUGGGGUAAAGGCCCACCAAGGCGACGAUGCAUAGCCGACCUGAGAGGGUGAUCGGCCACACUGGAACUGAGACACGGCCCAGACUCCUACGGGAGGCAGCAGUAGGGAAUCUUCCGCAAUGGGCGAAAGCCUGACGGAGCAACGCCGCGUGAGUGAAGAAGGAUUUCGGUUCGUAAAGCUCUGUUGUUAGGGAAGAAUGGAUAUGUAGUAACUAUACAUGUAAGAGACGGUACCUAACCAGAAAGCCACGGCUAACUACGUG
rnacentral:rRNA from 1 species